CUUAGGUCAAAGCAGAAUGUAACUGGGCAGGAUCUGUGAGAUCUCUUUCAGGAGCCUCCGGGACUCCAGUAGCCCUGUGGUACUGGCAACCUCGGUCUGGUGUGGUCAUCCCUGACAGGCUCGGUGAGAGGAUAAAGUGUCAUGAUGCGGUGGAAAGCUUUUCACUUUUUAGUGACAUAUCAAUAACAACUCUUCGGUUCAGCUGUGCACAAGAGAAAGGGCCUUGGAUGGCGUGAUGGCACAUGCUUAUGAUCCCAAUGCUCAGAAGGACAGCUGCAGGAUUGAGGCUAUCAUGGGCUAUAGAGGCUAUCACGGGCUAUGGACAGGCCACAGGGAGCCCUGGUGACCUUCUAACAUGUGGUGACUGCAAACCCUCAUUGACAUAGUGCUGUGACAUCACUGAAGCGCUUCCUGAGGAGCUGGUUAACUGUUCUGCUGAUUCAUUCUCUCUCUCUCUCUCUCUCUCUCUCUCUCUCUCUCUCUCUCUCUCCUCCCCCUUGAAUGAACUGUAUGCUUCUAAUGAAGAAAAUGUACAAAGUUCAUUAUGACACUUAAAAAACAUAUAUUUAUUUUACCUAUGUGUACUGGGAUUUGCCUG
rnacentral:lncRNA from 1 species